rnacentral:tRNA from 1 species
GCCGGGGUGGCGAAAUUGGUAGACGCACAGGACUUAAAAUCCUGGGGGGAGUUAAAUCCCCGUAUGAGUUCGAUUCUCAUUCCCGGCA